UCAUUGACAGAGAGACUCCUAGAGAAUGCAGGAAUCGCUGAUGGUGCUGCAUCCACAUGCAUUAAUGGAUUAUGAAGAUUAGAUCAUACAGAUUAACUUUAUAAGCUUGAUCUGUGAUGUGAUUUUUUUUGUGUGGAUAUAUGUAGAGUUACCGGGUGUUGAAUAAAUAUGUUGUCUCAAAACUAAGAUUGUUCGGCAUACAAG
rnacentral:lncRNA from 1 species